CGGAGCAGGUUAGCGUUAGCUAGCUUUUUUGCACUAAAUAUAUUAUAUAUGUUUAAUCUUUCAUUUAGUUCUUCUUCAACAGCAUGGCUCUGAGCUCGGCCACGUCGAUCUCCUUAGCAGAGUUCUCGGGUCUAUAGCAACCGGUAACUGGGUCGGGUACCCAUGAAACCUUCUCUUUAGCUCCGCCUGCUAUCUCUUCCUUCGCCGCCGCCGAGCUCCUCCCUGCUCCUCCUCUUAUUCCACUCGACACAAUCCCUUGUGAUGAUGCCGCCGCAUAUCCUCGUCUAAACAAACAUAACA